AGUGAACGCUGGCGGUAGGCCUAACACAUGCAAGUCGAACGGCAGCACGGUAACUGGUUGCUCUUACCGGUUGCCGGUGGCGUGCGGAAUAGAUAGACAUCGGUCUCUACGUUUUGGUGGGGGAUACGGAAGGGGAACUUACACUGAUACCGAAUAAGGGCUACGGGCGGGAGACGGGCAGCUUCGGCGCUUGCGCGUUUGACGGAGCCGAUGUCGGAUUAGCUAGUUGGCGGGGUAAAGGCCCACCAAGGCGACGAUCCGUAGCUGGUCUGAGAGGACGAUCAGCCACACUGGAACUGAGACACGGUCCAGACUCCUACGGGAGGCAGCAGUGGGGAAUAUUGGACAAUGGGCGAAAGCCUGAUCCAGCCACGCCGCGUGUGUGAAGAAGGCCUUCGGGUUGUAAAGCCCUUUUGUUCGGAAAGAGAAGCAGCAGGUUAAUACCCCGCUGUUCUGACGGUACCCAAAGAAUAAGCACCGGCUAACUUCGUG
rnacentral:rRNA from 1 species